AUUGAACGCUGGCGGCAUGCUUUACACAUGCAAGUCGAACGGUAACAGGGAGCUUGCUCCGCUGACGAGUGGCGAACGGGUGAGUAAUGCAUCGGAACGUACCCAGUCGUGGGGGAUAACGUAGCGAAAGUUACGCUAAUACCGCAUACGUCCUGAGGGAGAAAGCGGGGGACCGUAAGGCCUCGCGCGAUUGGAGCGGCCGAUGUCGGAUUAGCUAGUUGGUAGGGUAAGGGCCUACCAAGGCGACGAUCCGUAGCGGGUCUGGAGAGGAUGAUCCGCCACACGUGGGACUGAGACGACCGGCCCAGACUCCGUACGGGAGGCAGCAGGU
rnacentral:rRNA from 1 species